rnacentral:sRNA from 1 species
GUUUAGCCCCACCAGCUUCCCGGAGCAGCAAGGCCAAGCAUGCUAGAGUCGCCAUCCACCCCGGCCGUGAUGCAGGGCCUCCUUCGCUGGACCCACAGGCCCUGCAGGACAGAGACUGGCAGCGCACUGUCAUCGCCAUGAAUGGGAUUGAAGUAAAGCUCUCGGUCAAGUUCAAUAGCAGGGAGUUCAGCUUGAAGAGGAUGCCGUCCCGAAAACAGACGGGGGUCUUCGGAGUCAAGAUUGCUGUGGUCACCAAGAGAGAGAGGUCCAAGGUGCCCUAUAUCGUGCGCCAGUGUGUGGAGGAGAUCGAGCGCCGAGGCAUGGAGGAGGUGGGCAUCUACCGCGUGUCCGGAGUGGCCACGGACAUUCAGGCACUGAAGGCAGCCUUCGACGUCAAUAACAAGGACGUGUCGGUGAUGAUGAGCGAGAUGGACGUGAACGCCAUCGCAGGCACGCUGAAGCUGUACUUCCGUGAGCUGCCUGAGCCCCUCUUCACUGACGAGUUCUACCCCAACUUCGUAGAGGGCAUCGCUCUUUCAGACCCGGUUGCAAAGGAGAGCUGC